rnacentral:rRNA from 1 species
UACAGAGGUCCCGAGCGUUGUUCGGAUUCACUGGGCGUAAAGGGUGCGUAGGCGGUUCUGCAAGUCUGAUGUGAAAUCUCCAGGCCCAACCUGGAAACGGCAUUAGAAACUACAGGGCUAGAGGCUUGGAGGGGGAACUGGAAUGCUCGGUGUAGCAGUGAAAUGCGUAGAGAUCGAGCGGAACACCAGUGGCGAAGGCGAGUUCCUGGACAAGUCCUGACGCUGAGGCACGAAAGCCAGGGGAGCAAACAGG